rnacentral:rRNA from 1 species
AACGAACGCUGGCGGCAUGCCUAACACAUGCAAGUCGAACGAGAUCUUCGGGUCUAGUGGCGCACGGGUGCGUAACGCGUGGGAAUCUGCCCUUUGGUUCGGGAUAACAGUUGGAAACGACUGCUAAUACCGGAUGAUGACGAAAGUCCAAAGAUUUAUCGCCAGAGGAUGAGCCCGCGUAGGAUUAACUAGUUGGUGUGGUAAAGGCGCACCAAGGCGACGAGCCUUAGCUGGUCUGAGAGGAUGAACAGCCACACUGGGACUGAGACACGGCCCAGAAUCCUACGGGAGGCAGCAGUGUGGAAUAUUGGACAAUGGGCGAAAGCAUGAACCAGCAAUGCCGCGUGAGUGAUGAAGGCCUUAGGGUUGUAAAGCUCUUGUACCCGGGAUGAUAGUGACAGUACCGGGAGAAUAAGCGCCGGCUAACUCCGUGCCAGCCGCCGCAGUAA